UUUCAUUUAAAAAUGUUCUUUUCAGAGACAGUCUCAUUCUGUUGCCCAGGCUGGAGUGGAGUGGCACAAUCAUACCUCGCUGCAGGCUCCAACUCCUGGACUCAAGCAGGCCUGCCACCUCAGCUUGCUGAGUAGCUGGGAUUACAGUGCCAGCCACUGCACCCUGCUGGCCUGCAAGGUUUUACCUGGUGCUUUAUGGAAAACAUUUGCUGACCUCUGAGCUAGCUCACAGUUCAGGCAAGGAAAUUGAAGUCCUGAAAGUUUAACUGAUUUGUUCCAGCUCAGAUGACUACACAGUGGUACAGUGAAAGAAUCCAAAAACUUAGGAGAGGCAUACACACCUUUUGUGGAUUAUCUGCUCAAAUCAAAUCCAGGAGGAUCAUGCAUCAAUGUCCAAACUCAUGUGGUGUCAAGACUUAAUGCUUUACUAAAAGGUGAGUCUCUGCUGUGGUCUUAGAUCCUUUCAAAGCCCACAAGGCUCUGUGGGGUUGACUCUUGUUAUGAUAAUUUCUAUAACUGCCAAUGUUGCAAAGAAAUUUUUGUUUCUGGCUCAAAUAAAUAUUUUCUCCAGAUCAAAAUUUUUGUUUCUGGCUUAAAUAAGUAUUUUCUCCAGAUCACACUCAUUGAUGUCUCAUUAAAUGCAAUAGAAUGUGUCUCAUUAAUGUUGGUGGGGUUUUUCUGAAGUGGCAAAUGAAAAUCAUUGAAUAUUGUUGAUCAAGUAGGAAAGUCUAGUUUAUUGGGAAAGGUGAACUAUGAGGUUUUAGUUAACAGAAGUGAAAUGUUUUAAGUUAGUGGUUUUAGAUGACUUACUGGGGGGAGUCAGAUAAGAUAGGAAGGAAGAAACUACAGAAUCUUGAAUAUAUAACAGAACAGGCAGUUGAGCCAAGAAAAUAGCUAAAGUCAAAACCAAAUGUGUUGAGGGAUUCAGUUGAACUUUGAAAUCUCUACUCUUGGGUGUCCUGAUUACGUGGCCAACUCCUUAAGGAUAUUAUAAUGAAAAAAGCCACAGCUCCCACCUUAGGAGAAUGUCUGGAAGGAGUUUGGGAGGGGGCUUGGGAGCAAGGAAGUGAUCUUGAGGGCAUGAUUUUGAAUUUGAAAUAACAGUUGUUAAAAAAAAAUAUUACCCAAGCACUAGUUAAGAUGGUCAGGCAGGUUUUACUGGGGAUCAGGCAAUAGGUGUAGGAACCACUGCAACAGGUCUUGCCAAUCAGACUUAACUCUGACCCCAACCAGGACAAGUGGGGGUUUGUAGCCGAGGAGCAGGGUGGUGACAGUGGGUGGAAAAUGACUAAGAGGAAACAUCAAGGAUAAGGGGUGUCUGGCUAAACUAACUUGAUAGGAUUCUUGCUGCAGGCAGGCCAGGGUGAUAAGAUAUUGAGGGUGGUCAGAUACCUAGAGUAGGGGAUUUCCUAACCUGACUUAACAGGAUUCUUGCUCACAUUAGAUUCAAUAAGGACAGAAAGGGAAGCCCAAGGUUGGGCCUCGUUAAGAGGAACACUCAGAGGAGCUUGACUAAAGUUUUAGUCAAAGGAAAGAGUCUUUGUACCUGUUAUUAUUCACACCUGUGAACUCAAGAACAUUUUUGGGCAUU
rnacentral:lncRNA from 1 species